rnacentral:rRNA from 1 species
UGAGGAAUAUUGGACAAUGGGCGCAAGCCUGAUCCAGUCAUGCCGCGUGCAGGAAGAAGCAUCUAUGGUGUGUAAACCGCUUUUGUACGGGAAGAAACACUCCUUCGUGAAGGAGCUUGACGGUACCGUAAGAAUAAGGAUCGGCUAACUCCGUGCCAGCAGCCGCGGUAAUACGGAGGAGCCAAGCGUUAUCCGGAAUCAUUGGGUUUAAAGGGUCCGUUGGCGGUUUAGUAAGUCAGUGGUGAAAGCCCAUCGCUCAACGAUGGAACGGCCAUUGAUACUGCUAGACUUGCAUUAUUAGGUAGUAACUAGAAUAUGUAGUGUAGCGGUGAAAUUCUUAGAUAUUACAUGGAAUACCAAUUGCGAAAGCAGGUUAGUACUCAUGGAUUGGCGCUGAUGGUCGAAAGCGUGGGGAGCGA